UACGGGGGGGGGGCAAGCGUUUGUUCGGAAUUACUGGGCGUAAAGGGCUCGUAGGCGGCCAACUAAGUCAGACGUGAAAUCCCUCGGCUUAACCGGGGGAACUGCGUCUGAUACUGGAUGGCUUGAGUUUGGGAGAGGGAUGCGGAAUUCCAGGUGUAGCGGUGAAAUGCGCAGAUAUCGGGAGGAACACCUAUUGCGAAGGCAGCUCGCUGGGGACGUUUACUGACGCUGAGACGCGAAAAGCGUGGGGGAGCAAACAGG
rnacentral:rRNA from 1 species